rnacentral:lncRNA from 1 species
UUUUUGAUCAUCACUCAAACUCUCCCCAUGACAGGAAGGAUGGAGAGUAUGGGCCAGACAUUGCUGUUAACAUUGCAUCCAGAGUGAGCCACAUCUAUCCUGAAAAAAUGCCAAAUACCUGGGAACAAGGGACAGAGACUAGGAGAUGGGCCCUCUGCCUCCAAGUCCAGUGCCCACGACAAGGAUUCUCCCAGAACAACUGCUACUUCAGCCAGAAAAGGAAUUCUUCAGGAGAAUCCACCGGUACCCUCAUGCCUAAUAAUUUCAGCAUUGCCUCCAUCUCUCUCCCAUCCACCCUCUCCUUUGUACUCAGCUGAUCAUGUGCUCCUCUGUUUAAUAAACUUCAAAGACUCCUGAUUGCCUUCUCGAUA